CUGAACUUUGCAGGACAGUCGAUUGCCAGGAGCAAGAUUGGGCACCUCUGUUUUAACAUCUCAACCAAUUUGAAUCAUCACAUAUUUGUAUCGAUUUUCAACCGGCUCAGAUUUGCCAUUUGAUGUCAGCAGAGACUCUGAGGACUGCUGCUUUUCACUAUCGAGUUGCAACAUCCCCAGCAGAGGUGAACAACAGACAGUCUGUUAACCUGAUUCACCUCACAAUAAAAUAUAUGAAGAAAGUCAGUCAUACAGGUUUUGGAGCAGCAUGAGGGGAGGCAUAUUGCAAGCUGUUGGGAGCCUGUGCAUCUUGUGAUGAGAAUGAUCUUGAAGGUCUUCGUGUAUGACAUGGUCAGCUUUCAGUGGAGAUUCUGAUUACUUUCUGGCCUGGGAAAGACACCUUAAGGAUCUUGAGGGGAUGAAGUUGGAUUCAUGUCAUUUCCUGAGUGCGUAUGGCAAAUAUGGCAUUUGCUGA